rnacentral:rRNA from 2 species
AGAGUUUGAUCAUGGCUCAGAUUGAACGCUGGCGGCAGGCCUAACACAUGCAAGUCGAGCGGUAGCACAGAGAGCUUGCUCUCGGGUGACGAGCGGCGGACGGGUGAGUAAUGUCUGGGAAACUGCCUGAUGGAGGGGAUAACUACUGGAAACGGUAGCUAAUACCGCAUAAUGUCGCAAGACCAAAGUGGGGGACCUUCGGGCCUCAUGCCAUCAGAUGUGCCCAGAUGGGAUUAGCUGGUAGGUGGGGUAACGGCUCACCUAGGCGACGAUCCCUAGCUGGUCUGAGAGGAUGACCAGCCACACUGGAACUGAGACACGGUCCAGACUCCUACGGGAGGCAGCAGUGGGGAAUAUUGCACAAUGGGCGCAAGCCUGAUGCAGCCAUGCCGCGUGUGUGAAGAAGGCCUUCGGGUUGUAAAGCACUUUCAGCGGGGAGGAAGGCGAUAAGGUUAAUAACCUUGUCGAUUGACGUUACCCGCAGAAGAAGCACCGGCUAACUCCGUGCCAGCAGCCGCGGUAAUACGGAGGGUGCAAGCGUUAAUCGGAAUUACUGGGCGUAAAGCGCACGCAGGCGGUCUGUCAAGUCGGAUGUGAAAUCCCCGGGCUCAACCUGGGAACUGCAUUCGAAACUGGCAGGCUAGAGUCUUGUAGAGGGGGGUAGAAUUCCAGGUGUAGCGGUGAAAUGCGUAGAGAUCUGGAGGAAUACCGGUGGCGAAGGCGGCCCCCUGGACAAAGACUGACGCUCAGGUGCGAAAGCGUGGGGAGCAAACAGGAUUAGAUACCCUGGUAGUCCACGCUGUAAACGAUGUCGAUUUGGAGGUUGUGCCCUUGAGGCGUGGCUUCCGGAGCUAACGCGUUAAAUCGACCGCCUGGGGAGUACGGCCGCAAGGUUAAAACUCAAAUGAAUUGACGGGGGCCCGCACAAGCGGUGGAGCAUGUGGUUUAAUUCGAUGCAACGCGAAGAACCUUACCUGGUCUUGACAUCCACAGAACUUUCCAGAGAUGGAUUGGUGCCUUCGGGAACUGUGAGACAGGUGCUGCAUGGCUGUCGUCAGCUCGUGUUGUGAAAUGUUGGGUUAAGUCCCGCAACGAGCGCAACCCUUAUCCUUUGUUGCCAGCGGUCCGGCCGGGAACUCAAAGGAGACUGCCAGUGAUAAACUGGAGGAAGGUGGGGAUGACGUCAAGUCAUCAUGGCCCUUACGACCAGGGCUACACACGUGCUACAAUGGCAUAUACAAAGAGAAGCGACCUCGCGAGAGCAAGCGGACCUCAUAAAGUAUGUCGUAGUCCGGAUUGGAGUCUGCAACUCGACUCCAUGAAGUCGGAAUCGCUAGUAAUCGUAGAUCAGAAUGCUACGGUGAAUACGUUCCCGGGCCUUGUACACACCGCCCGUCACACCAUGGGAGUGGGUUGCAAAAGAAGUAGGUAGCUUAACCUUCGGGAGGGCGCUUACCACUUUGUGAUUCAUGACUGGGGUGAAGUCGUAACAAGGUAACCGUAGGGGAACCUGCGGUUGGAUCACCU